rnacentral:lncRNA from 1 species
GACUAUGAAAUUGAUGGUUUUCAUGAAAAUAGGUCAAAACAUAGAAAUGAUCCCCAAAUUAGGAAGAAAUUACGUCAAAAGCUUUCUAAGAAGGACAAGAAAAAAAGAAAGUGGUUCUAAGAAAAGAGGACCCAACAGCCCUGCAAGUAAAACUCCCGUCAAGAGAAGAAGAAUUGUCGAAGAAAUUUAUAGAGAUGAGCUUCCUAAGGUAAUUGCAUGUACAGAUUUGUU